rnacentral:lncRNA from 1 species
AAAUAUAAAUUUGUUCAUGGGGGACAAAACACCCCAAUAGUACAACACCAUGGUCAAAAUACAAAAUCCGAAAAUACAAAUAGAAAUAACAUAAAAACUGAAAACACACAAAAACUUAACCCACAAAGGGCUCAGGACUCCUCUUCGCUACCGGCCUCAGAACCGGUAGCCUCAUCAUCAAUAUCAUCAUCAUCAGCAUCAGCUU